UACGUAGGGUCCAAGCGUUGUCCGGAUUUAUUGGGCGUAAAGAGCUCGUAGGCGGUUCCGUAAGUCGGAUGUGAAAACUCGGGGCUCAACCCCGAGACGCCAUCCGAUACUGCGGUGACUUGAGUCUGGUAGGGGAACACGGAAUUCCUGGUGUAGCGGUGAAAUGCGCAGAUAUCAGGAGGAACACCGGUGGCGAAGGCGGUUCUCUGGGCCUUACCUGACGCUGAGGAGCGAAAGCAUGGGGAGCAAACAGG
rnacentral:rRNA from 1 species